UAAGAAGUGGGAGGAAGUGGAAGCAGAGGCUCGAGCCCGUGUCGUCUCCUAGGGAGGUGACCCCGUUGCAGAGAUGGUCGUCCUAAGCCGGUGCACGGUUCAGUUCGGCAAGUACCGGGUACAGAUCUUCAAGUGGAUGAUGGAGAACGACGUGGGCUACAUGAUGCACCUGGUAACGGUGCAUCAGAAGGAGAGGGAGCGAGAGCGCAGUGUUUCCCAGCAUCCCCUGAUGGCCAACAAGGACGCCUUGACUCGCACGCCUAUCCGGCCUUCGCUGAGAUGGUCAGGUUCAACCGGGCACAUGAGGAAGCUAAAGUCCUGUCCUCCCAGCCAGGCCAGGAGGGCAAGGCCCUUGUCGGCAUUGGGAAGUACAAGUGGGACACGCUGCAGGACCUGUAUGAGGCUACGGGUGCAGACAGGAUAAAAUAUGUCAGGAGCAUGAGGACGCAGACACCCCGUUAUCCUGGGAGUGCGAUGGCAGCCUUGAUUGAUUACAUUCAGCGCAGAGACCAGGAGGGGGUAGCUGCUGUGGCCGGGCACGCCGCAGCCAACACCAUCCCCGCCAGUAACACCCGGCCCAACAGUGCGGCUUACGCCUCUUGGUCCUGCGAUCUCUGCGUUCCUUUCAAGGCGCUCUCUCGCCCCAGGUGAACUGCAGGCGAAGAUGAAGAAACUCAUUGCUUCUCAGCCUGCAGUUCAAGGGGUGUCUUUCCCUCGACCAGCACUGCCACCAACCGAUAUAUCAGACGCAGAGCUGGUCAAAGCAGCUGCUGACAUAGACACAUCCGUAUCCCUACAGCUCCACCCAUCGCUCCCUCGGCCUCUGCCUCCAAAUGACCGAGCCCCGGUCCCUGCCCCGGUUCCUGACCCGGCCCCUGCUCCUGCCCUACUAGGGCGGAGCGAAGAGGAGGAUUUGCCCCGGCAGUCCUUCCUGCCUCCAAGGCCCGCCUCAGAAAGUGCUGAGCUGCUGCUUCCAGAGAGUUGGCGUUCAUCUCUCACCAAGGAGCAGCAGCAGUGGAUCGGCCGCACGCUGUUCACCAGGAACAGCUUUGGGAGGUCGACACUCACCACUGACCUGGUCACGUGGUGGAACCCUCCCCAACCACGGCCGAUCUACAAUCAGCCACCCGCAUCCCCCGACCCCUUCUUCGCAUGUCAGCUGUUCCUUUGGAUGCCCGUACGUAUAUGGGCAUACAAGCUGGCAUGUCCCCAGUCUGGGUGCAGAGGCACACUGUGCAAGGCUGGGCUCUACAAGACCAUCCGGAGGGUCUUGGACAUCGACCGCUGGUAUCUCAUGGCCACUGAGUACCUGGAAUGCGGCCGGUGUAAGAAGAAGGUCGCGGGGAGGUCACGGGACCUUGUCAGUCAGCUGGACGCUCGGCAUCGCUGCCAGUUUCCAGCAAUAUUGACAUACAAGAUGCUGAGGUCGCGCACUUUGGGGACCAGUGAGUCACAGACCUACAGCAAGCUGUGUGAAAGUCACAGCGAGUCCUUGAUGCGUAGUUGUAUACGGUACCUCGGGGAGUGCAAGCAGUUUCUGGCAUUGGGCGGCAGUUCACUGAUCCACCGGAGAUGCCCCCGGUGCCCUCACCCGUCUGGCUUCUGACAGUCUACAGCCAUGACGUGCUAUCGCGGCUGGACGAGGUGAAGGCCAGGGUCACCUCCGUCUUUGGGUCCAUCUUAAAGAUGGACUCUACCAAGAAGGUGACUAAAAAGCUUGCGGGUACCGCUGCAGACACAGCCGCCUGGGUUACCAACGUCGGUAACGAGCAUGGGCAGGUCCUCGUCAGUGUCCUCACUGCCGGUGAGGGCGAGGGCCUGCUCCCCAUGGCGGCUGGUCUCAUGGAACGGUAGCGGCUCGCCGGGGUGGCGCCCCCCCCAGCUCAUGUACGUGGACCGAGACUGCUGCUCCAGCUUUGGCGGAUCAAAGACAGCUGCCAUGUACAAUGACUGGGACCAGCUGGUGGUUCGGCUGGACAUCUGACACCUGAUGCGGCGGUUCGCGUCAGGUGUCACCUCUGAGAGCCACCAGCUCUACGGUCCCUUCAUGCGGCAGCUGUCAGCCUGCAUCUUUGAGUGGGAUGCAGGCGAUGUCUGCCGACUGCUGGAGGCCAAGAGGUCUGAGCUGGAGGGGAAGCACGGGAUGGUCA